GUGUGAAACCUCCUGCAGAACCAUUGCUGCAGAUUCUUCUUUUCUUCUUUUUCAUUUUCUUUCUCCUUUGGUUCUGCUCUAUCUCCAUUUUCCUAACUAUCCACCCAACUCCAGCCCGUUCAACUCCACUGCCAACCACUGCACGUUUAUCUAGCCGAUCCCACGCCACCGUCCCACCGAGUCGAGACCACCAAGCCACGCCAACAACCACCUGACCAGCAGCUCAAACAGAAACAGAACCAGAACCGCAACCCAGCUUGAGCAGAAGCUUGUUGGCUGGUUUUCAACUCCUUUCGGGCCUCCCUUGGAGCCGCCGUAGACACGGGAUCGAGCCGCCGUCGCGUCACCGUUGCCGUGAACCCGUUUAUUCGCUAAUAUGGUCCUUAGUUUGGUGAUACUGGAGGGUGUCGUGGAGGUUCCUGAGCCAGAAUCGAAGGGAUCCAGAGUAUAGGUUGUUCGGUAGUUCUUUUGAGUCAGACUUUUAGUGUACAGACUUGUAGGACUGACUUGGCUUAUUAUUAAAGCGUGAUUGGUGAAA